rnacentral:misc_RNA from 1 species
GAAAUGCGAUAAGUAAUGUGAAUUGCAGAAUUCCGUGAAUCAUCGAAUCUUUGAACGCACAUUGCGCCCUCUGGUAUUCCGGGGGCAUGCCUGUCCGAGCGUCAUUGCGAACCCCUCAAGCACGGCUUGUGUGAUGGGCCCUCCCGCGUCUUGGUCGUCAAGACGGGCCCGAAAUGCAGUGGCGGCUUCGCGGUUAUCCGAUCAGCCAGAGCGUAUGGGGACUCUCUCUCUUGUCACAUGCCCGCGGCGCGGACCGACGCCUGUCGACCUUUAUUCAUCUUCUCUCGGUUGACCUCGGAUCAGGUAGGGAUACCCGCUGAACUUAAGC